CGUUAGUGACACCUGUGCUUUUCCUGCUGUGACAUGUCAAAGUGUCUGCUGUGAGAAAGUCCUACUGCAUGCAUCUUCCCUGAAGUGAAGUUUAUAUUUUACAAUGUGUAUUGUAUUUAACCAUGAUGCAUGAAUAAUACUUUGCUGUUUGUAUGUUUAGGCAUGACUGUUGUGAAACGAUGAGAUGAAAAGGAAAACCAGGCAGAUCGUGUGGUGGCACUCAGGAGCUGUAGCUCUUGCAGCAGGUUGCAUCAGUCUCGUCAGAUCAGGCCUCUGCAGCUGUGAACAGCGCCGCCCCCCCACAGCAGCACUCUGGGUGACUUAACAAGGUGAAACCACCGUCAUGUCAGUGUGUGAGGUGACAACUGAGCUCAUAUUUACCAACAGCCAAGGACACAUAUCACGUAGUCGGCUCAGAUAUCAGGGAAUGUUGCGUAUUAGGGGAUUUACAGCACAGAAUCACAUGAAACCGCCUCAACCUUGGCCAAAAGAUAAGACUGCUAGUUAAUAUGUAGUCUUGCCAGACCUGUCUCCACAACACUGCAGAGUAGUUAAUACGAAACUAGUGAUACAGGGUAGAGCAGCUCUUUAAGCAAAAAAACAGCACAGUAACCAGACUAACAGGUGUGUUGUUCAAAGCAUUUUAUUGCAUUUUUUUUUUUUUUUUUUACAAAAACAAUACAAAAUUCUGUAGCAACGGUCAUAAAUGUUGCCAUGAGUGAACUGCAAUCAUUCACAUGGUACAGUAAAGUGCUUAUUUUAAAUCAAAAUAUUUUUGUAUUUAAAAGGAUGUAUUCAUUUUAAACUUCUUCCCAUGAACAGGAUGAGCUUGGUGUGAUUCAGACAGUGUUGAAAUCAGGUGUCAACUCCCAAGAAAGAAAGAUGGACUGAAUCAACGUCGACAAAAUACCCAUGUCCAUGAAAUGAACCAUUUAUAAAACAUUUGAUCAAUGUUGCUGGAUUGUAAAUGCUUUUGCCUGUGGGCUACAUUCAAAUUGUGGGGAGGUUGAUGGACUGUCCAUUUGAAUGAAUGGUUUUAACACUUCUUUACUUCAAAAUGACUUACAAUAUAAAAAUUGCGAGGCUUAUCCCCCCCCCAAUAAAAGGCAGCCUGAAAAGCUACUGCCAUUUGACAAAAGUAGAAAUGGUCAUGACCAAGAAAACUUAUACCAUUCAGGAUAUUACAGAGAAUGGCCAAAAUCUGUGCAUUUGAGUAGCCAACCCCUGUCAAAAAGUAGGGACUAACUCAUCUGAUGCUCAAAAGGGAGAAAAA